rnacentral:lncRNA from 1 species
AAGAGUGUCUGAAGAAGCCACCCCCCACCCCCUCAGGACCCUCCCUCUCUCUCGUCCCUUUCGAAACUCACCCUUUAGAGACCCCCAAAGAACCCUAGAAGCCACCACCAUUCUCCCACUGCUUUAGGGUGAGGCGCCACCUCCAAUCCCUCCCAAAUUAACACUCUAUGAGCCCCACGACCCCUUCUUCCCAAAUCCCUGGUCAGUUUCCUUUGAAUCUUUCUGGAGUUUCUCGAAUUUUAGAUCGAAGAUGAACCCUAAAAAUCCCAAGUCGAGAUUUUGUUGAAAUUUUGGGUCUAAUCUGAUUUAUUCAUGUGCUUUUUGUAAGAGCACACGAUUAAAAUUAGAUUUGGCCGAAAAAUCAAAGGAUUUGAAGACUCAGAAUCCACUAUUCAUUGUUUGAGCUUUUAGUAGGUAUUUUCUUCUUUUUCUUCGGUUUAAUCUAUUAUUAAUUCUUUUUUUCUUCCGUUUCUCUGUUUCUGCUUUUCUUCAUGGUUCCUUUUUUAUUUUUUAUUCGUUCAUGCAUGAGUAACUAUGAAUCUGUUUUUGGUCAGUAUGGUUAAUUUCAGAGAGUAAGUCAUUUAGGCUAAUUUUUAAUUGACGAAACAUUUCAGCAUGUGUUAUGUGGUGCUUAUAGUUUGUUAAUUAGAUAAGUGUUAGUUUGGGGCUAAUUGGUUUUCUGAAUUCGAUAUGAGCUUUUGGGUAAAUUCUAAUCCAUCUUGAGUCUGAACCAUUGGCUCAAAGUUUGGCCCAUGACUCGUUCUGGUUUCAGGGGUUAAUUUCAUAGGUUAUAGGGGUAAGUUGGGAAAACUGGGAAAGGGAAUCUAUGAGUAACUUAUUAGGAAGCUUCUCAGAAGCUGUGAAGGGGACCUAAAUGAAAAUUCUGUUUUACACUAAGGUUCCCCAAGCAAAAAUAAAAAUCAGAAAAGGACUAAGGUGCAAAAACUUAUACCUAAGGGAGUUCCCUAAUGCCAUGCCUAUAAAGGCACAUUAACUUUGCAUUGAAGGCAGAACAAAAUAGAGAUAAAAAUCUGAAAAUCAAAAAUGGCUAAGAAUUUAAGAGAAGACUAUUGUUGCGUUGAAUUUCCAUCUCUGAUUCUUGAGGUUUUCAACUUCUGAAGCAAUUUUUGAUUCAUUUGGAGUUUGAAAAAUGGUUUGAAUUAGAAGCCAUAGCUGAUUUUCUGUGAUUUGAAAUGGUUCUAAUAUUUUGCUAAUUUUGGAUUUAAAAAAUGCACUGAAAUUGCUAUUAUGUUGUUAAUUGCUGCUACUAGAUUGAUGUUGAUCUCACCUUCUUCUUCUAAUAUUCUGUAGUUAUUUUGGUUGCAUCCAGGUACACUUUCGAAUCAUUGCAAUGGAAAUGUAAAUAUUGAAUGAGAAGUGGUGUUUCAAUAUCCAUAUUUCUGCUCUUUUCUAAAGUCUAAUUUUAGUAGUUUUGUUGUGCUUUGAUAUUUAUCAAUUGCAGUUUUAAUUGAACUUAGUAUUAUUUCAAUGAAGGUCAUGUAGUUGUUUGUAAUUGUAAAAUUGGACUUUCAUUUUAUUUCAGUAGUUUCAAGUGUAUUCGAAUGAAUUUUUAGCUUAGUAUUAAAGGCCUAAUGACAUGAUAUACUACUGCUUGGUCACUAGUUUAUGUACUGAAACCAAUGUUAUAAUUAGCUUAGAUGUAUCUUUGUGUUGGAUGUACUUGAAGAGUAGAUAAAUUUUUCUCAAAUAAUAUCAAUUUAAGGGCUCUUAAGGUGUCAUCUUUGAGGGUUGACUGGACUACCCUGCACUUAGUAUAUCAGUAUAUGCAAAUAGGUGUAUGCAUGUUAGUUAAAAAAAUCUGAUCCAUGGAAUUGGUCUAUUAAUUGUCUUUGAUCUAAUGUUUGGAGUUGAACAAGGUUAAGUCUAUGUUAGCAAUUGUAUUCUUCUGAAAUCAUGUUGGUGAUGGGUUGGAUUCAAUGUUUUGCUUCCUUUUAUAUUUCUGAUAUUGAAUCCAUGUUAGCAAUUUCUAUUUUGAAGUCACGUUGAUAUUUGGUUAGAAGUCAUGAAUGAUGUUAUACUUUAAAUGGUGAAACAAACUGUAGGUGAGCUUUAUAACAUCAUGUAUGGCAUCUUUGUCAUAGAAUGUCAUUUGGUAUUAAAAAUACGCUUCAUAUCCGUUUAAGAUUGGCAAAAGUGGUCAGAACUUGUUCAAUCUCAAGAUUUCUCAUAAAGAACGUAAUUUGUUUCAAGUGAUGGUCAUGAAUCACGCAGAUGGGCCUUUGUCAUUAGCCAAGUUAUGUCUGAAGCCUCUUAGCUGAUCUAGUCUGGUUUUGGGCCUUACCUCGAGCCUAAUUCCCUUGUAUUGCUUGGCUAUUGUUACCUAAGUCUAGGAGCUGUUUCUUGUCCAAAUAUGGGCCAAUAUAGUGAUUGCAUAGGUUGCUCGUAGCUAUAUAUGCAGAACUUAAUUUAAAUGUGAACUCCUUAGUUUUUCUUUUAUUAAAUGUGAUCCACUUUAAUUGGUGGGGGUGGGCUAUAUUAGAUAACUUAAAUAGUUUAUUGCCAUCCAAAUGUAGUUUGAAUUC